GCGGUAAUUCAGCUCCAAUAGCGUAUAUGUAAAUUGUUGCGGUUGAAAAGCUCGUAGUUGGACUUCUGGCGGCCGCGAUCGGUCCGCCACGCGCGAGCACUGUUCGCGGCUGUCGUUCUGUCGACGGUGCGCGUCGGACUUCAUUGGCUGGCGCGCUCUCUGUCGGCGUCGUUACUUUGAGGAAAUCAGAGUGCUCAAAGCAAGCGUUCGCUCGUGACUUCACUAGCAUGGAAUAACACAGAUGGGCUCUUUCUCGCAACGUUGGUCUGCGUCAAUUGAGCAACGAUCGAUAGAGACGGUCGGGGGCAUUCGUAUUGCGCAGUUAGAGGUGAAAUUCUCCGAUCUGCGCAAGACGCACUAAUGCGAAAGCAGUUGCCAAGGACGUCCUCUUAUGAUCAAGAGCGAAAGUCGGGGGAUCAAAGAUGAUUAGAUACCGUCGUAGUCCCGACCAUAAAUGAUGCCAACUGAGCGUCGGCGACUCGGCUUCUUGCCGGACGUCGGCGCUCGUGAGAGAAAUUAAAGUCUUUGGGCUCCGGGGGUAGUAUGGUCGCAAGUCUGAAACUUGAAGGAAUUGACGGAAGGGCACCACAAGGCGUGGAUGUUGCGGCUUAAUUUGACUCAACACGGGAAAGCUUACUAGGUUUGGACACUUGCAUGAGGGACAUAUUGAAGCUCUUACCUUAUUUUGUGGAUGGUGGUGCAUGGUCGUUCUCAGCCCGUGGGUUGACCUGUCAGGUUUACUCCGGUAACGCGCGAGACCUCGGUUUGCUAAAUAGGCGCGGCUGUUYCGGCACCCGCUUGCCUUCUUAGAGAGAGACUUGGCGAGAGUCAAGGGAAGUCGAGGCAAUAACAGAUCUGUGAUGCCCUUAGUUAUCCUAGGUCGCACGCGCCAUACAAUGUGGCGCACAACGAGUCUCCUUGGCCGACAGGAGCUCCCUUGGGCGGGCGAUGCGGGCWGACCGGACGGCGGGCGUCUCUUCGGAGUCGUUGCCCGUCACAGGGCUCCGCGACGCCUGCGCGUCCGCCCUCGAGAGCACCAGGGCAAUCUGGCAGAGCGCUACGUGACUGGGCUAGACUUUUGUAAUUGUUGGUCUUGAACGAGGAAUGCCUAGUAAUCGCAGGUCAUCAUCCUGAGAUGAUUCGGUCCCUGCCCUUUGUACACACCGCCCGUCGCUUCAUCCGUGGAAUGCGCCCGGUAAGAGGGGGAAGCAGCGUCGGACGGGUAACACCGGACUGUACGUGGAACCCCUCUGAACCUUCGCACGUAGAGGAAGGAGAAGUCGUAACAAGGUUUUCGUAGGUGAACCUGCGAAAGGAUCAUUAUCGGCACGUCCCU
rnacentral:rRNA from 1 species